AACGCGGGGCAACCUGGCGACGAGUGGCGAACGGGUGAGUAAUGCAUCGGAACGUGCCCAGUAGUGGGGGAUAGCCCGGCGAAAGCCGGAUUAAUACCGCAUACGACCUAAGGGUGAAAGCGGGGGAUCGCAAGACCUCGCGCUAUUGGAGCGGCCGAUGUCGGAUUAGCUAGUUGGUGGGGUAAAAGCCUACCAAGGCGACGAUCCGUAGCUGGUCUGAGAGGACGACCAGCCACACUGGGACUGAGACACGGCCCAGACUCCUACGGGAGGCAGCAGUGGGGAAUUUUGGACAAUGGGCGCAAGCCUGAUCCAGCCAUGCCGCGUGCGGGAAGAAGGCCUUCGGGUUGUAAACCGCUUUUGUCAGGGAAGAAACG
rnacentral:rRNA from 1 species